AUUAGCCAUGCAUGUCUCAGUAUAAGCUUCUACACGGCGAAACUGCGAAUGGCUCAUUAAAACAGUUAUCGUUUAUUUGGUGGUCAUUCAUUACAUGGAUAACCAUGGUAAUUCUAAAGCUAAUACAUGCUCCCAGACCCGACUUCGUGGAAGGGUUGUGUUUAUUAGGUACAGAACCUACCCAGGCUCUGCCUGGUCCUUUGGUGAUUCAUGAUAACCGAACGAAUCGCAUGGCAUCAGCUGGCGAUGAAUCAUUCAGGUUUCUGACCUAUCAGCUUCCGACGGUAAGGUAUUGGCCUACCGUGGCAAUGACGGGUCAUGGAGAAUUAGAGUUCGAUUCCGGAGAGGGAGCCUGAGAAACGGCUACCACAUCUAAGGAAGGCAGCAGGCGCGCAAAUUACCCAAUCCUGACACAGGGAGGUAGUGACAAGAGCUAACAAUACAGGGCAUCCAUGUCUUGUAAUUGGAAUGCGUAGAAUUUAAAUCCCUUUAUGGGUAUCGAUUGGGGGGCAAGACUGGUGCCAGCAGCCGCGGUCAUUCCAGCUCCAAUAAUGUAUAUUAAAGUUUUUGCGGUUAAAAAGCUCGUAGUUGGAUUUCUGCUGAGGACGACCGGUCCGCCCUCUGGGUGAGUAUCUGGCUCGGCCUUGCCAUCUUCUUGUAGAAAGUAACUGCACUUGAUUGUGUGGUGCGGUAUCCAGGACUUUUACUUUGAGGAAAUUAGAGUGUUUCAAGCAGGCGCACGCCUUGAAUACAUUAGCAUGGAAUACUGAGAUAGGACCUUGGUUCUAUUUUGUUGUUUUCUAAAAAGCUGAGGUAAUGAUUAAUAGGGAUCGUUGGGGGCAUUCGCAUUUAAUUGUCAGAGUUGAAAUUCUUGUAGUUGAUAAAGAAGGAAUACUGCGAAAGAAUUUGCCAAGAAUGUUUCAUUGAGAAGAACGAAAGUUAGGGGAUCGAGGACGAUCAUAUACCGUCCUAGUCUUAACCAGAAAGCAUGCCGACUAAAGAUUGGAGGUCGUUAACGAUACGACUCCUUCAGCACCUUAUGUGAAAACAAAGUCUUUGGGUUCCGGGAGAGGCCUGGUCGCAAGAAGGAAACUUAAAGCAAUUGGCGGAAGGGCACCACCAGGAGUGCAGCCUGCGGUUUAAUUUGACGCAACAAGGGGAAGCUUACCAGGUCCAGACAUAGUAAGGAUUGGCAGAUUGAUCGCUUUUUCUUGAUUCUAUGGGUGGUGGUGCAUGGCCGCCAUUAGUUGGUGGAGUGACUUGUCUGGUUACUUCCGUUAACGAACGAGACCAGAACCUGGUAAAUAGUUACGCAUAACUUCGGUUACGCGGGCAACUUCUUAGAGGGACUUUGUGUGUCUAAUGCAAGGAAGUUUGAGGCAAUAACAGGUCUGUGAUGCCCUUAGAUGUUCUGGGCUGCACGCGCGCUACACUGAUGCACUCAACGAGUUUUCGACCUUGCCUGGAAAUGUUGGGAAAUGCAGCGUGAUGGGGAUAGGUUAUUGCAAUUAUUGAUCUUCAACGAGGAAUUCCUGGUAAGCGCGAGUCAUCAGCUCGUGCUGAUUACGUCCCUGCCCUUUGUACACACCGCCCAUCGCUCCUACCGAUUGAGUGAUCCGGUGAAUACUUCGGACUGCAGCAAUGUUUGGAUCCGGAACAUUGCAGCGGAAAGUUUAGUGAACCUNAUCACU
rnacentral:rRNA from 1 species